rnacentral:pre_miRNA from 1 species
GGGUCACUGUCACACCUUAAGGUGCAAAAUUAUCCUGAACACCAAGGUGUGUUAGUGAUGACA